rnacentral:rRNA from 1 species
GACGAACGCUGGCGGCGUGCUUAACACAUGCAAGUCGAACGGUAAGGCCCUUCGGGGUACACGAGUGGCGAACGGGUGAGUAACACGUGGGUGAUCUGCCCUGCACUUCGGGAUAAGCCUGGGAGACUGGGUCUAAUACCGGAUAGGACCCUGGGAUGCAUGUCCUGGGGUGGAAAGCUUUUGCGGUGUGGGAUGGGCCCGCGGCCUAUCAGCUUGUUGGGGGGGUGAUGGCCUACCAAGGCGACGAUCUGUAGCGGGUCUGAGAGGAUGAUCCGCCACACUGGGACUGAGACACGGCCCAGACUCCUACGGGAGGCAGCAGUGGGGAAUUUUGGACAAUGGGGGCAACCCUGAUCCAGCCAUGCCGCGUGAGUGAAGAAGGCCUUCGGGUUGUAAAGCUCUUUCGGCCGGGAAGAAAUCGCACAGGCUAAUACUCUGUGUGGAUGACGGUACCGGCAUAAGAAGCACCGGCUAACUACGUGCCAGCCGCCGCCGUAA